CUGGCAUCGUGGUGGGCUCAGGAGAUCAAGACAAUGUUAUUUGCAAAGGUUUUUGCAAGUGGCUUCGUCCUAAUGAAAGACCGAUUUCCUGGUUCUUCAGUAUGGGACAGUCCUGGGUGAUCAAACAGGCUAUUCUGAUUCAGCUAAAUUGAAUGAAGGAGUUUGACAAGCUAUGAUGGGGGAAAGGACUUCAGGUGACUUCAGAAGUCUUUGGACUUAAUGCUGGGAAUAAUGGUUUCAACGAUGGAAUUCCAAACUUGGGGUACAAAUACAAGAUGAUUCUCCCUGGAGUCAAUAGUGUCAAAUGAAAGAGUGGUCAUCAACAGACUAAAGAAUGAUUCACAUUUCGCGGCAUUAUCGAUGAAACUGGCCAGUGUUCUGGAAGAAGUCUGUCUUCUGCUGCCUGAGGUAGUUAAAUUGUGAACUUGAUAGGACCUUGAAAGGCUUGAAGCUCCAGCCCUAUCCAGAGGAAUUGUGUGUAAAUAUAAACUGAAAAGUUACAUUUUGUGAUUUUUGGAUAUUAAAAUACUCUGAAAUCUUG